CUUCUUCGUGAAUGCAUUCUUUUCCUCAGCAUCUACACCACUUGUAGCAGCAGUUGAUACAGCCCUGUCUUCUGCUUGAACAGUUUCAGUUACAUCAUCAGCCAAAUUUACAUGAUCUUCAGGAGUUGGUUUAUCUGAACAUGAUUCAUCUUCGAAAGAAGUAGCAUCUCCUCUUGUAAUAUCCACCUUCUUCGUGAAUGCAUUCUUUUCCUCAGCAUCUACAUUAUCUGAACAUGAUUCAUCUUCGAAAGAAGUAGCAUCUCCUCUUGUAAUAUCCACUUUCUUCAUGAAUGCAUUCUUUUCCUCAGCAUCUACACCACUUGUAGCUGCAGUUGAUACAGCCAUGUCUUCUGCUUUAACAGUUUCCGUUACAUCAUCAGCCAAAUUUACAUGAUCUUCAGGAGCUGGUUUAUCUGAACUACAUGAUUCAUGUUCGAAAGAAGUAACAUCUCCUCUUGUAAUAUCCACUUUCUUCAUGAAUGCAUUCUUUUCCUCAGCAUCUACACCACUUGUAGCUGCAGUUGAUACAGCCAUGUCUUCUGCUUUAACAGUUUCCGUUACACCAUCAGCCAAAUUUACAUGAUCUUCAGGAGCUGGUUUAUCUGAACUACAUGAUUCAUGUUCGAAAGAAGUAACAUCUCCUCUUGUAAUAUCCACUUUCUCCGUGAAUGCAUU
rnacentral:lncRNA from 1 species